AACUGUGAGAGUCAGGCUGCUGCCCUGUCGCCAUUGAGCAAAGCUAAUAUUCUCCCAGCAUAUGGUCUAAAAUCUUUUCUAGAGAUCGGGGAAAAAACAAACAAACAAAUAAAACAACAACAACAACAACAAAAUCCUUAAGCCUCCUCUCCCAGAGCCCCACCCCCACUUCCCACCUCCUGGCUUUCAGCAAACUUCCCAGGCUCAGAAAAGUGCAGCGCAGGACACCCCAGC
rnacentral:lncRNA from 1 species